AUGAACGCUGGCGGCGUGCCUAAUACAUGCAAGUCGAGCGAACAGACGAGGAGCUUGCUCCUCUGACGUUAGCGGCGGACGGGGGAGUAACACGGGGAUAACCUACCUAUAAGACUGGGAUAACUUCGGGAAACCGGAGCUAAUACCGGAUAAUAUAUUGAACCGCAUGGUUCAAUAGUGAAAGACGGUUUUGCUGUCACUUAUAGAUGGAUCCGCGCCGCAUUAGCUAGUUGGUAAGGUAACGGCUUACCAAGGCAACAAUGCGUAGCCGACCUGAGGGGGUGAUCGGCCACACUGGAACUGAGACACGGUCCAGACUCCUACGGGAGGCAGCAGUAGGGAAUCUUCCGCAAUGGGCGAAAGCUUGACGGAGCAACGCCGCGUGAGUGAUGAAGGUCUUCGGAUCGUAAAACUCUGUUAUUAGGGAAGAACAAAUGUGUAAGUAACUAUGCACGUCUUGACGGUACCUAAUCAGAAAGCCACGGCUAACUACGUG
rnacentral:rRNA from 1 species